rnacentral:rRNA from 1 species
GUCUGGUUGAAUCUAUAAUCAGUCUAACCUGCCCACUGAUUUCUUUUAAAGGCCGCGGUAAAAUGACCGUGCGAAGGUAGCAUAAUAAUUAGUUUUUUAAUUGAAGACUGGAAUGAACGGUUGAACAAAAAGCGUCCUGUCCCAAAAUUCAUAAUCUAACUUAACUUUUAAGUGAAAAGGCUUAAAUUCACUUAAAAGACGACAAGACCCUGUAAAACUUUAUAUAAAGAGCCUAGCUUUUAGACUAUAAGUUGACUAAAAAAUUUAACUCUUAUAUAUUUCGUUGGGGCGACGAGAGUAUAAAUUUUAACUGCUCCCCUAUUAUACAACUAUUUUUGUAACUCUAAUGACCCUUAAUCUAAAGAUCAUAAGAAAAAGUUACUUCAGGGAUAACAGCGUAAUUUUCUUUAAGAGUUCUUAUCGACAAUAAAGUUUGCGACCUCGAUGUUGAAUUAAAAUUCCAUCACAAUGCAGCAGUUGUGAAGGUAGGUCUGUUCGACCUUUAAAAUUUUACAUGAUUUGAGUUCAAACCGGCGUAAG